rnacentral:other from 1 species
AUUUCUCUGAGAUGUUUGCAAGCGGGCCAGUCCCCUGAGCCGAUAUUUCAUACCACAAGAAUGUGGCGCUCCACGGUUGGUGAGCAUGCUCGGUUCGUCCGAGAAGCCUUAAAACCGUGACGACACAUUCACCUUGAACCAAGGGUUCAGGGUUACAGCCUGCGGCGGCAUCUCGGAGAUUCC